AUACUAAAAUCUGGAUCAAACUGAAAAUUGAAACACUAGACAACGAAGUUGUUCGUGAGUCUCAAAUUUUCACGUGGCACGAUGAUGAAUCUGAAGAAACAUCUUCAG
rnacentral:sRNA from 1 species